UACGUAGGGUGCGAGCGUUGUCCGGAAUUACUGGGCGUAAAGAGCUCGUAGGUGGUUUGUCGCGUUGUUCGUGAAAACUCACAACUCAAUUGUGGGCGUGCGGGCGAUACGGGGCAGACUGGAGUACUGCAGGGGAGACUGGAAUUCCUGGUGUAGCGGUGAAAUGCGCAGAUAUCAAGGAGGAACACCGGUGGCGAAGGCGGGGUCUCUGGGCAGUAACUGACGUGGAGGAGCGAAAAGCGUGGGGAGAACGG
rnacentral:rRNA from 1 species